AUUAAGUUCCCCGCCUGGGGAGUACGGCCGCAAGGCUAAAACUCAAAGGAAUUGACGGGGACCCGCACAAGCGGCGGAGCAUGCGGAUUAAUUCGAUGCAACGCGAAGAACCUUACCAAGGCUUGACAUACACCAGAACACCGUAGAAAUACGGGACUCUUUGGACACUGGUGAACAGGUGGUGCAUGGUUGUCGUCAGCUCGUGUCGUGAGAUGUUGGGUUAAGUCCCGCAACGAGCGCAACCCUCGUUCUUGUUGCCAGCACGUUAUGGUGGGAACUCAUGGGAUACUGCCGGGGUCAACUCGGAGGAAGGUGGGGAUGACGUCAAAUCAUCAUGCCCCUUAUGUCUUGGGCUUCACGCAUGCUACAAUGGCCGGUACAAAGGGCUGCAAUACCGUGAGGUGGAGCGAAUCCCAAAAAGCCGUCCAUUCGAUUGAGGUCUGCACUCGACCUCAGAAGUCGAGUCGCUAGUAAUCGCAGCAGCACGGA
rnacentral:rRNA from 1 species